GCCGCCCUGGCCACGCCCCCUGCUGGCUGACCACGCCCCCCGCCGGUCGCCAUGGCAGCAGCGGUGCGCUUCGUGGUGACGCCCAGCCGGGGGGGGGACGCGUCCGAGAGCAGCCCCGAGCCCCCCUCGGCCUCCAGCUCCCGCCCCCCCCCCUCCGACAGCAGCCCCAGCCCCAGCGAGACCUCGGCCCCCCCCCGCGCCGAGCGUGGUACGGCCCGCUGGGGGGGGCGGGGCUUUGAGGGGGGGGCGUGGCCUCGCUCAUCGCCCGCCGCGGCGCCCCCCUCCCCUAGGCCACGCCCCCCCGCCGCCUGGCCACGCCCCCUCCGGAGGCCACGCCCCCUGCGACCUGGCCCUGUUUGAGGUGAGCGGCCCCUCCCCUCCCUAAAAUGGGCCUGGGGGGGGGGGGCGGCCCCAAAAUCGGGGGUUCUGAGCCCGAAACGGGAGGGUCUGGCCCCAAAAUACCCCAGGGACCUGUAAGAACCCUUGGCCCUAUAGGGUGGCCUGACCCUGGAAGGGUUCCUGACCCUAAAACAGCCCCAUGACCCUAAAACAGACCCUGACCCUAAAACAGCCUCUGACCCUAAAACAGCCCCAUGACCCUAUAAGAGCCCUUGACCCUAAAAGAGCUCCUGACCCCAUAACCCCCCGUGACCCCAUAACCCCCCCAUGACCCCAUAACCCCCCCGUGACCCCGUAACCCCCCCGUGACCCCGUACCCGCCCCCAUAACCUUAUGGGGUCGCAGGAGGAGCUGGCGUCCCGGCCCCGCGUCCCGGCCCUAUUGCGCCGCAUCGCCGCCUACAGCAGCCUGGGGCCCGACAGCGAGCUGGGGCCCGGCCCCGUGAGUGACCCCAAAACCGGCCCUAUAAGGGGGGGGGGCCCUAAAAAGGGAGACCCUAUAAAGGGGGGACCCUAAAUGGGAGACCCUAUAAGAGGCCCUAUAAGGGGAGACCCCAAAAGGGACCCUAAAAGGGGAGGGACCCCAAACCCUAUAAGGGGUUUUUGGGGUCCCUUUGGGGAUUUUGGGGUCCUUUUGGGGUUAUUUGGGGUUUUUGGGGUCCCUUUGGGUUCCUUUUAGGGUUUUGGGGUUUUGGGUUCCUUUUGGGGUUUUGGUGUCCCUUUGGGGUUUUUGGGGUCCCUGUGGGUUUUUUGGGGGUUAUUUGGGGUCCCUUUUGGGUUAUUUGGGAUUCUGGGGUCCCUUUGGGGUUAUUUGGGGUUAUUUGGGGUUUUGGGUUUUUGGGAUCCUUUUGGGAUUUUUGUUCUUUCGGGGCCUUCCUUUUAGGGUUUUGUCUUUUUUGGGGCCCCGUCGGUUUCUUUCCGAGUCCCCUUCAAUUUUUUUAAUUUGUGGGGGUUCCCUUUGGGUUUUUUUGGGGGGUUUUUGGGUGACGGGGCUGUUUUGGGGUCGCAGCGGCGGGCGCUGGGCACGCUGUGUGGGGUGGCGGCGCCCUCGCUGCAGACGCUGCUGGGGCUGCUGCUGGUGCUGCGCCUGCCCUGGGCUGUGGGGUCGGGCGGCGUCCUGCAGGUCUGCGGGGUCGGCGUGCUGCUGGGCGCCUGCGCCGUGCUCACCGCCCUGUCCCUCAGCGCCAUCGCCACCAACGGGGGCACCCCCGGUGAGCGGGGUGGGGUUUGGGGGAAAUUCGGGGGAUUUGGGGAAAUUUGGGGGGUCUGGGGGGGGAUUUCGGGGGGAUUUGGGGUGGAUUUGGGGGAUUUGGGGAGUUAUUGGGGGAUUUGGGGUCGGGUUUUGGGGCUGUUUGUGGGGGAUUUGUUUUUUUUAGGGUGGUUAUUGGGGUACUGGGGGGGAUUUGUGGGGGUUUGGGGUGGUUUUGGGGGUUAUUUAUGGGGUUUUGGGGUAUCUUGGUGGGGUUUUGGGCUAUUUUUAUGUUUUCUUGGGGUAUCUCUGUGGGGUUUCUGCCCCCCUGGGCUUCCCUUCUGCUGCUGACGCGGUGCCGCAGGGGGGGGCCCCCUGGCGCUGCUGUGGGGGGCGCUGGGCCCCGAGGCGGGGGGCGCG
rnacentral:lncRNA from 1 species